GCCUUGGCGAGGUUAAGGGAAUUUCUAAGGACAUACCACUGACUGGAUCUCACCCGAGGGCACGGUUUUCCGUGUAGCCCUUUCUCAUGGUCCUCCGGGCACACUGGCCUAGAUAUGGGGUGCCUGGCUAAACCUCAACUCUUGUUAAAUCCAACUCUCUGCUCUCUCCUUGAAUCUGAGCUUGAUGCUGAAUGUGAUUGGGGAAGAAGAAAAGGAUGCUUAUGGGUCACACAGGUGGAAUCCAUGCUGCUUAACAAGCAUCUCUUUUCUAGACAGCUAUUUCAGACCUUAUUCUCUCUCCUCAUACCUCUAAGACUCUCCUUCCCCUCUCUUUCAAUGGAUAAACUUGAUUCCUCUUUCAAGGAGAAAUCUUAAACAAAACAAGAGGAAACUUC